GAAAGGAAAGGAAAGGAAAGGAAAGGAAAGGAAAGGAAAGGAAAGGAAAGGAAAGGAAAGGAAAGAAGAUAAAAAGGACUUCUUUUUUAAAGAAGUUAAAAGGAGAUAAAUAUCAAAAUACUCCGUUUGGGAUUGAAGACAGUAUUCCAGGCUGACCAGAAAUGAAAUUUGGGGCUUUUGCUUCCCAGUGGGGUUUCUGAGAGGUUCCAACCGAAGGCGGAUUCCCCCCAACCUUCUGAGUCAGUCACUGAACUGAAACAUCCAUUUUUUGGCCACCUCUCCUUUGAAGCUGCAUUCAAAGCCAGCGAGCGGCUCCAUCCCGCUGCCACCGCAGCUGCAGGGGGUUCUCCAGCGGUGCUCCAGGAAGGCCCACCCGGUGGGAUCUGCAGGGGGGGAUGGGCCCCAGCCCUGCUUCAGAACCUCAGACCCAACCUCCUGCCCGCCAGCAGCUAGGGAACCAAGGGCCCCGGAUUCUUCGAAGGGCUCAGCCUGGUGCGCACACCUUGGGUGCUGACUCCUCUGAAAAUCUGCCCCGACCUGCCUGCGCUGAGCCUUUGAAAACUGAAAUCUUGGAAUCUUUGGAAAACAGAAACUCCUCGUUUGGGACACCCAGUAUCUGAGGAGAUGCGCUCCAGGUAUCUCCAGUCGCCGCGGUGCACAGACGUGCCCUCGGGGGGCGGGGAGGGGUGAGCUCAUGUUCAGAAGGGUUUUCCCCACUGCAGAGCCUGGAAACGGAACAGCACCGCUCCCAGCACCCUCUGUGACGUCCCAGCCGUGCCCAUCCCGGUUUCUACAGCUGUGAGGGAGUGGGUAGUGAACUGCUGGAGAUCCGUGUCCCGACACCAUUGUGCCCUCUGGGUCACCGCAGCCGAUGGGUGUCACAGGGAGCUGGUGCCGGUUCCUUGCGACCGCGUCCUGCUCCACAUCUGCCAAACUCGGCCUCUCUGAAGCCAUUAAUCACGCUCUCCUCAUUUCCACUCAGGAAAUUGUCUGAAAAAACCCUGAUGUUACCGUCAAAAAAAAAAAAAAAAAAAAUUGUUUUUUUCA